AACCAAUGACAUUACAGUAUCAUUCGCGCGAACACAAUUUAAAUUGUCGGCAUUGUGUACGGAAGUCAUUUUUUGCGAAUUGCGACUUGGUGAAACUGACUAUUGUUUGUGAUGGCGUGUAAAAGAAACCUGAGUUUUACUACUCCCCGUGAGUAAUAGGGCUUUGCAACCAGCAGCAAGCCCACUGAGCAUAAAUGAUUUAAUGAAACAGCUGAUCUCCGGUCAGAACGCUUUGUGUCUCGUCAGCUUGAGGGUUUGAUGGAGAAGCAAGCUGCAAACACUGUUCUUCUCGAAGAUGCUAUCCAGCGUCUUUGUGCUCUUGAGCGAAAGUUUGACGAGCAAAGACCGCAAGAGGAAAAAAAAGAUCGCGGGAAGAGCCAUUACAUAAAAGGAUAAAGAGGGCGCACAACGUGGGCAUUGCGGAAGCUGUAAGGCGCCUUCACAAUUCGGAAAACACAAACUGGAUUAAGUUCGCCUCGUAACCAAGCAGUCAUGACUUAUCUGCUAGAGGAAUUGAAAACAACUUUUGCAGAUGCAGACCUUGAGUGUAUACAAGCGUGUUGCAAGACAUACUUUGAAAACACUUCGGAGAAAGUACAAUUU